UAAAACCAGCACCUCAAGUGGUCAGGAUGAUUAUUGGGCCUAAAGCAUCCGUAGCCUGCUCUGUAAGUUUUCGGUUAAAUCUGUACGCUUAACGUACAGGCUGCCGGGAAUACUGCAUAGCUAGGGAGUGGGAGAGGUAGACGGUACUCGGUAGGAAGGGGUAAAAUCCUUUGAUCUAUUGAUGACCACAUGUGGCGAAGGCGGUCUACCAGAACACGUCCGACGGUGAGGGAUGAAAGCUGGGGGAGCAAACCGGAUUAGAUACCCGGGUAGUCCCAGCUGUAAACUAUGCAAACUCAGUGAUGCAUUGGCUUGUGGCCAAUGCAGUGCUGCAGGGAAGCCGUUAAGUUUGCCGCCUGGGAAGUACGUACGCAAGUAUG
rnacentral:rRNA from 1 species